AACGAACGCUGGCGGCAUGCCUAACACAUGCAAGUCGAACGAGACCUUCGGGCCUAGUGGCGCACGGGUGCGUAACGCGUGGGAACCUGCCCUUGGGUACGGAAUAACUCCCCGAAAGGUGUGCUAAUACCGGUUAAUGUCUUCGGACCAAAGAUUUAUCGCCUUUGGAUGGGCCCGCGUAGGAUUAGCUAGUUGGUAGGGUAAAAGCCUACCAAGGCGACGAUCCUUAGCUGGUCUGAGAGGAGGAUCAGCUACACUUGGACUGAGACACGGCCCAGACUCCUACGGGAGGCAGCAGUGGGGAAUAUUGGACGAGGGGGGAAAGCCUGAUCCAGCAAUGCCGCGUGAGUGAUGAAGGCCUUAGGGUUGUAAAGCUCUUUUACCCGGGAUGAUAAUGACAGUACCGGGAGAAGAAGCACCGGCUAACUCCGUG
rnacentral:rRNA from 1 species